rnacentral:rRNA from 1 species
AGAACGAACGCUGGCGGCAUGCCUAAUACAUGCAAGUCGAACGAACACUUCGGUGUUAGUGGCGCACGGGUGCGUAACGCGUGGGAAUCUGCCCUUGGGUUCGGAAUAACAGUUGGAAACGACUGCUAAUACCGGAUGAUGACGAAAGUCCAAAGAUUUAUCGCCCAGGGAUGAGCCCGCGUAGGAUUAGCUAGUUGGUGAGGUAAAGGCUCACCAAGGCGACGAUCCUUAGCUGGUCUGAGAGGAUGAUCAGCCACACGUGGGACUGAGACACGGCCCAGACU